UGGGAAGUAUUGCGCAAUGGAGGCAACUCUGACGCAGCCAUGCCGCGUGUGUGAAGAAGGCCCUCGGGUUGUAAAGCACUUUCAAUUGGGAGAAAAAGCUUGUCGUUAAUAGCGGCAAGCCUUGAUGUUACCUUUAGAAGAAGCACCGGCUAACUCCGUGCCAGCAGCCGCGGUAAUACGGAGGGUGCGAGCGUUAAUCGGAAUUACUGGGCGUAAAGCGCGCGUAGGCGGUUGCUUAAGUCGGAUGUGAAAGCCCCGGCUGCAACCUGGGAACUGCAUUCGAUACUGGGGCGACUAGAGUACGAGAGAGGGAGGUAGAAUUCCCACGUGUAGCGGUGAAAUGCGUAGAUAUGUGGAGGAAUACCGGUGGCGAAGGCGGCCUCCUGGCUCGAUACUGACGCUGAGGUGCGAAAA
rnacentral:rRNA from 1 species